CAGUCGCCGCGGGAAUACGUAGGGUGCAAGCGUUAAUCGGAAUUACUGGGCGUAAAGCGUGCGCGGGCGGUUUCGUAAGACAGAUGUGAAAUCCCCGGGCUUAACCUGGGAACUGCAUUUGUGACUGCGAGGCUAGAGUGUGUCAGAGGGGGGUGGAAUUCCACGUGUAGCAGUGAAAUGCGUAGAUAUGUGGAGGAACACCGAUGGCGAAGGCAGCCCCCUGGGAUAACACUGACGCUCAUGCACGAAAGCGUGGGGAGCAAACAGGAUUAGAUACCCCCGUAGUCCCUGUCUCUUAUAC
rnacentral:rRNA from 1 species